rnacentral:rRNA from 1 species
CUUGAACGGUAAAGGCCCCUUCGGGGGUGCUUCCGUGGCGAACGGGUGAGUAACACGCGGGUGAUCUGCCCUGCACUUUGGGAUAAGCCUGGNCAAACUGGGUCUAAUACCGGAUAGGACCAUGGCCUGCAUGGGUUGUGGUGGAAAGCUUUUGCGGUGUGGGAUGGGCCCGCGGCCUAUCAACUUGUUGGUGGGGUGAUGGCCUACCAAGGCGACGACGGGUAGCCGGCCUGAGAGGGUGUCCGGCCACACUGGGACUGAGAUACGGCCCAGACUCCUACGGGAGGCAGCAGUGGGGAAUAUUGCACAAUGGGCGCAAGCCUGAGACAGCGACGCCGCGUGCGGGACGAAGGCCUUCGGGUUGUAAACCCCUGUCAGAGGGAAAGAAGGGUCGCCUGGCUAAUAUCCAGGUGAUCUGACGGUACCUUCAGAGGAAGCCCCGGCCAACUCUGUGCCAGCAGCCGCGGUAAGACAGAUGGGGCAAGCGUUGCUCGGAAUCACUGGGCGUAAAGGGCGCGUAUGCGGGAUGGCAAGUCAGUCGUGAAAUCUCUCGGCCUCAACCGAGAAACGUCUGCUGAUACUGCCGUUCUUGAAGGGAUGCAAAAGGAGACUGGCAAUUCCCGGUGUAGCAGUGAAAUGUGUUAAAGAUCGGGAGGAACACCCGGUGGCGAAGGCGGGUCUCUUGGGCAAUUUCCUGACCCUGAAGGCCCAAAACCGUGGGGA